ACUUUUUCCGGUUUGGUAAGUCUCUAUUAGGUGGUGGUUAAAGGGGAAUAUUAGUGUGUGAUUUGCAAGCGGUAAUGGUGUUAAUUGCCCAUAUCUUUUUUGUAGGAUUCUCCCUUUCGUCCUGGGCGAUUAAAUGCGCCGUUCCUGACGUUUUUUUCCUGUCGCGCCGUGAACUUUCGGUUACUCGGAAGUCUUAGUUGAUACGGAGAUCUAUUACCCGCUACCUGCUUCCCGCUACCUGCUUCCCCGCUACCUGCUACCUGCUAUCUGCUACCUGCUACCUGCUAUCUACUACUGAUCCCUGUGAUUGUGAUUUGUGUUACUGGUUAUUAUUGUUUGUUUUUGUUUUGUUUAAAGUGGUUCUGCUUGAGGGCAUCUAUUUGAUUAUGGAGUAGCCGGUGCCCUGUGUGGAUUUUGCUCCUCCAUUGUGGAACUACAAAAAUUGAGCUGGGGUUCCACGGGUGCAGGAGCUUGAGGUGGUGGUGUCACUUCAUCAUUUGCUGUGGACACGUUUGUGUGUGCAGUGAGUGUGUCGGGGUGUGUGUGUGUGUGGAGGUGUAAGUGUGCUUUUGGCUAAAUUCAGCACUGGUGAUCACUCCCGUGGGUGACCUCAGCCCUUUACCAUUGGAGAGUGCUGCCGGCAGUAGGUGAUGAGGAUUCAAUGUGACUUUUAAAUGGUGAAACAAUUGUGAAAAUAAAUUUUGUACUUUCAUGCUUUA